rnacentral:rRNA from 1 species
AACGAACGCUGGCGGCAUGCCUAACACAUGCAAGUCGAACGAGACCUUCGGGUCUUGUGGCGGACGGGGGGGUAACGCGGGGGAACCUGCCCGUAGGUUCGGUAUCACUCCCCUAAGGGGGUGCUAAUACCGGAGAAUCUCAUCGCGCCAAAGAUCUAUUGCUGUUGGGUGGGGGCGGGUUGGAUUAGCUGGUUGGUGGGGGAAAAGCAUACCAAGGGGAGGAUCCAUAGCUGGUCGGAGAGGAUGCUCUGCCACACUGGGACUGAGACACGGACCAGACCCCUACGCAAGGCAGCAGUGGGGAAUAUUAGACGAUGGGCGAAAGCCUGAUCCAGCAAUGCCGCGUGAGUGAUGAAGGCGUUAGGGUUGUAAAGCUGUUUUAGACGGGAUGAUAAUGACGGUACCGGGAGAAUAAGCUCCGGCUAACUACGUG